rnacentral:rRNA from 1 species
GACGAACGCUGGCGGCGUGCCUAACACAUGCAAGUCGAGCGAGUGAAUCUCCUUCGGGAGUGAAGCUAGCGGCGGACGGGUGAGUAACACGUGGGCAACCUGCCUCAUAGAGGGGAAUAGCCUUUCGAAAGGAAGAUUAAUACCGCAUAAGAUUGUAGCUUCGCAUGAAGUAGCAAUUAAAGGAGCAAUCCGCUAUGAGAUGGGCCCGCGGCGCAUUAGCUAGUUGGUGAGGUAACGGCUCACCAAGGCGACGAUGCGUAGCCGACCUGACGAGGGUGAUCGGCCACAUUGGGACUGAGACACGGCCCAGACUCCUACGGGAGGCAGCAGUGGGGAAUAUUGCACAAUGGGGGAAACCCUGAUGCAGCAACGCCGCGUGAGUGAUGACGGCCUCGG